GUUUUUUGUUUCCUGCGGUCUUAGCAGUCUCCGAGGAUAAACUGCGGGAAUAAAAAUACUUUUAUAUAGAAGCGGUUGAAUAUGUCGGAGCAAUUUGACAAGUAUCAUUUGUACGCCGGUGUCAUAAAACGACUAUUACUCUUCACAGGACUGUUGCCAACCAGGAAGCCGAGUACGCUUUAUCGACUGGUCACCUUCGUCCACGGUUCGGCUUUGUUCCUAGUCUGUUGUGCUAUCCUCAAUUUUUGCUAUCAACACAUUGCCCAUCUCCAUCUCUUCUUGAAAGGACUCAGUUGGGCUCUGAGUUUUUUAACUAGUUUACAAAAAAUGUCUUGUUUUUUGCUUUACCGAGGCCAUCUGGUCGAGCUUCAUGCCGAGCUCGCGAUGACAUUCGAAUUGGAUUUGUACGACGUUGAGCUGCGUCCGAUUCUGUUAUCGUCUCUGCAAUCGUUCUAUUUGCCUUCGUUGUCCCUGUCAACGAUGACGGGUGUGGUGGUAGGCUUGCAAUUGAUUACGCCAAUACUCUUGAUAAUAAUUCAAGUGGCUCAUGGAGCGGACGUGCUCAAGCUCAUCCAACCAUUUCCGUCCUCGUAUCCCUGGCAGCCAAGCGCCAAUACCUGGCUCUACUUGAGUCACUACACCUUCGAAAUCUACGCGGGAGUGUCCCUCUACAUUUUCACCUCGUUGAUCGACGGGCUUUUUGGUUAUUACAUUUUUCAAAUUACUGGACAACUCCGCACGUUGGCGCAUCGCAUAAGGAAUUUCAACUGUAGUGACAAUUAUCGGAAAGUCAUUAGCGAGUGCAUAAAAAGACAUUACAUUCUUACGAAAUGUCAAAAACAUCUCGAACAAAUAUAUGUACCCAUGGUCCUCUGGAUGCUCGUCGCUAAUGCGUUAGUCAUGUGCGCUCUCAUGUAUCAAGCUACUCAGGACAAAAUAAUUUAUGACCAAGUCUUGAUUCUGAAACUCAGCUGUUGCGCCAUUCAAUCCGAAUAUGAUUUUUUUGUGCUCGUACUCGAAUUGUGUUCAGGUGCCUCCAUCCAAGAUGGCGCUGAUCGUGGGUUACGUGAUUAUGAAAUCAAUGCAAACUUUGGUUUAUGGAUGGUUUGGAACAUCUUUAGAAAUCGAGAACGACAUGUUUCGAGAAUCGAUAUACGCGAGCGAUUGGCCAGGUUCUGGAGAAAAACGUCUUAUGACCGAUGUCCUAAUCAUGAUGUCGUAUAAGCCGCUCGUACUCAAGGCAUGCUCUCUGUCAAACAUAUCCAUCGACAUGUUCGUUGCUGUUUCCAACACUGCUAUCUCGUACUUCUUUCUUCUACGGACGUUGGAGGACAAGGACAACGAUUCUUAGAGGCUUGAGUCUCGUACCAUUUCCGAUUUUUUCUCGUGGCAAACGGAAAAAUUUACAAAUUUCAUAAAUGUACAAAUUAAGUCACUUCUUUAACUUUAUUUCGUACAUCAAGAAGUUUUCUUUCAAUGUUGCGCACGUUUCACAUGCUGCAUUACAAAAAAAAAUGCUUCAAAAUAAUGUUUUUUGGAGGCUUUUUUCAAGUAAUAAAUUAUUGUUAUUUCAUCCU
rnacentral:misc_RNA from 1 species